rnacentral:piRNA from 1 species
UGCAAUUUCAAUCAUUGAGAAUAAGAG